rnacentral:rRNA from 1 species
UACGUAGGCAGCGAGCGUUGUUCGGAAUUACUGGGCGUAAAGAGUGUGUAGGCGGUGCUCCCAGUCUGUUGUGAAAUCUCCCGGCUUAACUGGGAGGGUGCAGCGGAAACUAGAGUGCUAGAGGGUGGGAGAGGUAAGCGGAAUUCCUGGUGUAGCGGUGAAAUGCGUAGAUAUCAGGAGGAACACCUGUGGUGUAGACAGCUUACUGGACCACUUCUGACGCUGAGACACGAAAAGCGUGGGGGAGCAAACAGG